GGGGGUAUAGCUCAGUGGUAGAGCUUGUCUUAGCAUGUGUGAGGUCCUGGGUUCGAUCCCCAGGGCCUUCA
rnacentral:tRNA from 1 species